UGGUCAGGUUAUUCUUAUGGAAUGUGUUCUGGACUGGGUUAGACUGGUUUAGACUGGGUUAGACUGGUUUUCAACUGGGUUAGACUGGUUUUCGACUGGGUUAGACUGGUUUUGGACUGAGUUAGACUGGUUUAGACUGGCUUUUGACUGAUUUUUAACUGAUUUUGGGUUGGUUCUGUGUUAGUUUAGACUGGUUGCUCUCAAACUGAUGACCAAACUUUGUCUUAUGAAACAGAUACUAGAAUUGGAUUUUGACAGUUCUAGAACUGGGUUUUAGAUUUCUGGGGUUUUUAAUUGUUUUGUGUAAUAUAUUUUAGACUGAGCUUGGUCCUAGUUUCAGACUGGUUUUUGACUGGUGUUAAACUGGUUGCAGACUGGUUUAGACUUUAUUUCAGACUGAUUUUAGACCGGUUUUAAACUUUAUUUCAGACUGGAUUUAGACUUUAAUUCAGACUGGAUUGGGACUUCAAUUUGAGACUGGUUUCAGACAGGUUCUGGCCUGGUUUCAGACAGGUUCUGGCCUGGUUUCAGACAGGUUCUGGCCUGGUUUCAGACAGGUUCUGGCCUGGUUUCAAACUGGCUCUGGCCUGGUUUCAGACUGGUUCUGGCCUGGUUUCAGACUGGUUCUGGCCUGGUUUCAGGCUGGUUCUAGCCUGGUUUCAGACUGGUUCUGGCCUGCUCUCAGACUGGUUCUGACCUGCUCUCAGACAGGUUCUGGCCUGGUUUCAGACUGGUUCUGGCCUGGUUUCAGACUGGUUCUAGCCUGGUUUCAGACUGGUUCUGGCCUGGUUUCAGACUGGUUCUAGCCUGGUUUCAGACAGGUUCUGGCCUGGUUUCAGACUGGCUCUGGCCUGCUCUCAGACUGGUUCUGGCCUGCUCUCAGACUGGUUCUGGCCUGCUCUCAGACUGGCUCUGGCCUGGUUUCAGACUGGUUCUGGCCUGGUUUCAAACUGGUUCUUAAGUGAUUCCGUCUGGGUUUUACCUCCAGCUCGUCUCGGAGGUCUGAUUUCCUGCAGCAGCCGUUCUGUGUUUCUGUCGUCUUGUUUGUCGUUUCCGUUAAUCGCUGCAAUUAUCGUCCUGAUUGGAGGCUGGCUGGGAAACUCAGCAGGGACCAGAGUGUGUGUGUGUGUGUGUUACUGUGUGUGUGUGUGUGUGUGUAUGUGUGUGUGUGUGUUACUGUGUGUGUGUGUGUGUGUGUGUGUGUGUGUGUGUGUGUAAUUCAAUUCAGUGCAGAUUAAAAUGAGGCAGAGCAGCGAGUGAUUGAAGGUUAUGGAGGAAGAAUAAUAUUCUCCCCGCAUGUUAUGUGUGUGUGUGUGUGUGUGUGUGUGUGUAUGUGUGUGUGUUUGCAGGAUUGUGCGUUUUGACAGCUGCUGCACAGGAGAUUUCCUCAGGGCAGCGAGGACACACACACUCACACCAAAACACACACACACACACAGACACACACCUCUGGGCGUUUGCUGAUGCGUGGCAGCGAGCGGCUUCGUUUGACAGACGCUGCCGCGCACACACACGACACACAAAGACGAGGCGACACACAAACACAUUAACGCGCAGACACACACACACCAACGUGCACACACCUACAUGCACGGGAUGUCUGGCUGCCGGAGACGGUUGCCGUGGCGUCAGCAGCUCAGCGAUGCAGCUUCAUCCAUUUUCACCUGCUGCUGGUGGAAAUAAAAACCGGCUGUUUGGACUUUAGUUCCACCGCAGAGAAUUUAAUUACAGACAAAAUAAAAACAUCUGUUUAUUACUUUAUAAUCAUAAUAUUAAUAAUAUGUAAUUACAAACAAAAUAAAAGCAUCAACAUAUUAUUGAAUUAUUAUAAUAAUGUUAAUAAUAUAGUAAGAAUAUUGAGUGAACAGGAGCAGAUUUUAUUAUCUCAUUUUCUAAUUAGACUACAUUCAGUAAAUACCAUCCAGUAGGUCCACCACUCUCUGGGCACCACCUCAGCACACCGCCCCCUGGUGGUGGAGACUGGCUCUGGGGAUGUGGGACAUCACCUCACUGGGUGGAAGGAACCUGAGCUGGUGGAGGUGAAGCAGUACCUGCUAGAUAUGGUUGGACUCACCUCCAUGCACAGAAAACGUUCUGGAACCAGAAUCCUUCAGAGAGGUUGGACUCUCUUCUUCUCCAGAGUUGUCCAGGGUGAGAGGCUCUGGGUGGGUGUGAGGAAACUCAGGAGCCCCCGGCUGAGCGUCGCUUUGUUGGAGUUCUCCUGUUGUCUAUUCUUAUGAACCAACAGCAGUUCAAAGUUUUCAACUCCAACCUCUGGGAGAGCUUCUUCUGCAUCCUGGGGGAGGUUGGGGACAUGGAGUCUGAGUGGUCCAUGUUCAAAGCCUCCAUUGCAGAAGCAGCUGUUAGGCGCUGUGACCUGAAGGUCACUGGUGUCUGUCGACAACUCAAAAACCUGCUGGUGGACACCAGUGGUGAGGGAAGUCGUCAGGUUGAAGGAGGACUAGUUGGGCCUGGUUGGCCCCGGGGUCUCCUGAAGCAGCUGACAGGAACCGGUUGGCCUAAAGGGCUGCAGCUGUGGAAGCUAAAACUCGGAUGUGGGAGGAGUUCGGGGAGGCUAUGGAGAAGGACUUUCAUUUAGCCUCAAGGAGGUUCUGGAAAACUGUUGGACGCCUCAGGAAGGGGAGGCUUUACCAGGCUGUGUACAGUCGGGGUGGAGAACUGUUGACCCAUACUGGGGACAUUGGCCGGUAGAAAGAGCACUUUGAGGAACUCCUGAACCCGGUAAACACGUCCUCUAUGGGGGAGGUGGAGCCUGAAGACUCGGGAAAUCUUCAUUCAUAUCCAUGAAAGAGGUCGCGGAGGUAGUAAAGAAGCUCCUCGGUGGUACCAGGUGUAGAUGAGAUCCUCCCUGAGAUGCUGAAGGUUCUGGACAUUGUUGGACUGUCUUGGCUGGCACGUCUCUACAAUGUGGACAUCAGGUACGGUACCUGUGGAGUGGCAGACUGGGGUGGUGGUUCCCAUUUUUAAAAAGGGGGACCAGAGAGUGAGUUCCAGCUAUCAGGAUAUCACACUUCUCAGCCUCCCCAGGAAAGUUUCCUCUAGAGUACUGGAAGGGAGACUCUGACUGAUUAUUGAACUUCAGAUUCAGGAGGAACAAUGUGGAUUCUGUCCUGGUCGUGGAACGGUGGUCAGAUCUUUACUCUUGUGGGGCUGCUGAGGGGGUCAUGGGAGUUGGACCUGCCAGUCUACAUGUGUUUGUGGAUCUGGAGAAGGUCUAUGACAGUGUCCCCUGAGGACCUCUGUGGGGAUACUGAGGGAGUAUGGGGUACCAGACUCUCUGAUACGAGACAUCCAGUCCCUGACCAAAGUGAAGGAGUUCAAGUAUCUCAGGAUCUUGUUCAGUAGUGAUGAGAAAAUGGAGCUAGAGAUGGACAGGAGGAUUGGUGCAGCAUCAGCAGUAUUGAAGGCGUUGGACUGAACCAUCAUGGUGAAGAGGGAGCUGAGUCUCAAGGAGAAGAUCUCAGUUUACCGUCCAUCUACGCUCCAACACUCACCUAUGGUCAUGAGCUCUGGGUAGUGACCCAAAGGAUGAGAUCAUGGAUACAAGCGUCUGAAAUGAGCUUCCUCUGUAGGGUGUCUGAGCUCAGCCUUAGAGAUAGGAGGAGAGUCAACAUGAGAGUUCAGACAGAAUCCUCAUGUUCACCGUGCUUGACUUAAAGAUGAAUCCUCCUCAUGAGCCUCAGGCUGCACACACACACACACACACACACACACACACACACACACACACACACACACAGAAAUCCACACAAACCAGAGUUGUGAGAGCAGAGGUGGUGACAGCGCUAUUUUCAACCCAGCCUGCCAAAGUAGGUGUGUGUGUGUGUGUGUGUGUGUGUGUGUGUGUGUGUGUGUGUGUGUGUGUGUGUGUGUGUGUGUGUGUGUGUGUGUGUGUGUGUGUGUGUGUGUGUGUGUGUGUGUGUGUGUGUGUGUGUGUGUGUAAGAAUAACCAUGUGACAGUGAUGGAUGAACGGAAACCUUCUGUGUGUUUAAUUGCUUUGUGGGUAAGAAAACCUCAAGUUAAUCACUUCAAAUGUCUCUUUUUUCCUCACACAAACAAAAACACACAAACACACACUGACAAACACAAACAAAAACACACACAUACCAAACACACACUAACAAACAAAAACACUCACAC